UGCAAGUCGAGCGGAAACGAUGGAAGCUUGCUUCCAGGCGUCGAGCGGCGGACGGGUGAGUAAUGCAUAGGAAUCUGCCCGGUAGUGGGGGAUAACUCGGGGAAACUCGAGCUAAUACCGCAUACGUCCUACGGGAGAAAGUGGGCUUUUGCUCACGCUAUCGGAUGAGCCUAUGUCAGAUUAGCUAGUUGGUGGGGUAAAGGCUCACCAAGGCAACGAUCUGUAGCUGGUCUGAGAGGAUGAUCAGCCACACUGGGACUGAGACACGGCCCAGACUCCUACGGGAGGCAGCAGUGGGGAAUAUUGGACAAUGGGGGCAACCCUGAUCCAGCCAUGCCGCGUGUGUGAAGAAGGCUUUCGGGUUGUAAAGCACUUUCAGCGAGGAGGAAAGCGGUGUUGUUAAUACCAGCAUCGUGUGACGUUACUCGCAGAAGAAGCACCGGCAAACUCCGUGCCAGCAGCCGCGGUAAUACGGAGGGUGCGAGCGUUAAUCGGAAUUACUGGGCGUAAAGCGUGCGUAGGUGGUUAAGUAAGCCAGAUGUGAAAGCCCCGGGCUUAACCUGGGAACGGCAUCUGGAACUGCUUAACUAGAGUGCAGUAGAGGAAGGUAGAAUUCCACGUGUAGCGGUGAAAUGCGUAGAUAUGUGGAGGAAUACCAGUGGCGAAGGCGGCCUUCUGGACUGACACUGACACUGAGGUACGAAAGCGUGGGGAUCAAACAGGAUUAGAUACCCUGGUAGUCCACGCCGUAAACGAUGUCUACUAGCCGUUGGGCUCCUUGAGAGCUUAGUGGCGCAGCUAACGCAAUAAGUAGACCGCCUGGGGAGUACGGCCGCAAGGUUAAAACUCAAAUGAAUUGACGGGGGCCCGCACAAGCGGUGGAGCAUGUGGUUUAAUUCGAUGCAACGCGAAGAACCUUACCUACCCUUGACAUCCAGAGAAGUCGCUAGAGAUAGCUUCGUGCCUUCGGGAACUCUGUGACAGGUGCUGCAUGGCUGUCGUCAGCUCGUGUUGUGAAAUGUUGGGUUAAGUCCCGUAACGAGCGCAACCCCUAUCCCUAUUUGCUAGCAGUU
rnacentral:rRNA from 1 species